rnacentral:tRNA from 1 species
GAGGGUGUAGCUCAGUGGUAGAGUACAUGCUUAGCAUGCACAAGGUCCUGGGUUCAAUCCCCAGUACCUCCA